CUUUAGCCCCGAUAGAAGUGGAAAUCCUUUUUGUCCCGAUUUUUCAUCGGGACAAAAAGAUUGAAACGGAUAGCGGGUACUAUG
rnacentral:sRNA from 1 species